rnacentral:rRNA from 4 species
AGAGUUUGAUCCUGGCUCAGGACGAACGCUGGCGGCGUGCCUAACACAUGCAAGUCGAGCGGGGAUAUAUGCUGGAGCGCUUCGGUGUGAAGGGAUAUAUCCUAGCGGCGGACGGGUGAGUAACGCGUGGGGAACCUGCCCUUAAGUUCGGGAUACCAACUCGAAAGGGUUGUUAAUACCGGAUGUGCUGCAUUAGCCGCAUGGCGGAUGUAGUAAAGGGGAGACCCGCUUAAGGAUGGCCCUGCGUUCCAUUAGCUAGUUGGUGGGGUAACGGCCUACCAAGGCGACGAUGGAUAGCCGGCCUGAGAGGGCGACCGGCCACACUGGGACUGAGACACGGCCCAGACUCCUACGGGGGGCAGCAGUGGGGAAUCUUGCACAAUGGGCGGAAGCCUGAUGCAGCGACGCCGCGUGAGGGACGAAGGUCUUCGGAUCGUAAACCUCUGUCCAAAGGGACGAAGGAGUGACGGUACCUUUGGAGGAAGCCCCGGCCAACUACGUGCCAGCAGCCGCGGUAAGACGUAGGGGGCGAGCGUUGUCCGGAAUCAUUGGGCGUAAAGGGCGCGUAGGCGGUGACGUAAGUCAGGCGUGAAAGGCAUCGGCUCAACCGACGCACAUAGCCUGAUACUACGUUGCUAGAGUGCAGGAGAGGAGAGUGGAAUUCCAGGUGUAGCGGUGAAAUGCGUAGAUAUCUGGAAGAACACCAGUGGCGAAGGCGGCUCUCUGGACUGUAACUGACGCUGAGGCGCGAAAGCUGGGGGAGCAAACAGGAUUAGAUACCCUGGUAGUCCCAGCCGUAAACGAUGAACACUAGGUGUAGGGGGUAUCGACCCCUCCUGUGCCGCAGUUAACGCAGUAAGUGUUCCGCCUGGGGAGUACGGCCGCAAGGCUGAAACUCAAAGGAAUUGACGGGGGCCCGCACAAGCGGUGGAGCAUGUGGUUUAAUUCGAUGCAACGCGAAGAACCUUACCAGGGCUUGACAUCCCUCUGACGGGUCUAGAGAUAGGCCUUCCCUUUGGGCAGAGGAGACAGGUGGUGCAUGGCUGUCGUCAGCUCGUGUCGUGAGAUGUUGGGUUAAGUCCCGCAACGAGCGCAACCCUUGCCUUUAGUUGCCAUCAUUAAGUUGGGCACUCUAGAGGGACUGCCGGCGACAAGUCGGAGGAAGGUGAGGUUGACGUCAAGUCAUCAUGCCCCUUAUGUCCUGGGCUACACACGUGCUACAAUGGGCAGUACAGAGGGGAGCGAAGGGGUGACCUGGAGCAAAUCCCAAAAAGCUGCUCUCAGUUCGGAUUGCAGUCUGCAACUCGACUGCAUGAAGUCGGAAUCGCUAGUAAUCUCGGGUCAGCAUACCGAGGUGAAUACGUUCCCGGGCCUUGUACACACCGCCCGUCACACCACGAAAGUUUGUCACACCCGAAGUCGGUGACCCAACCUUUUAGGAGGGAGCCGCCGAAGGUGGGGCAGAUGAUUGGGGUGAAGUCGUAACAAGGUAACCGUAGGGGAACCUGCGGUUG